CGUGGGCCCCAGACGUCAGUCCUUUCGCCUUCCUCAAAUCCCCGAACUGCAUCUCCUCUGACGCCUCGUCCUCCUCGCCGCCGCCACGCUUCCAUCGCUGACCGAUUGCCGCCAGGGCGGCCACCACGCGGCCCCUCCGCUGCCGAAGCACCACGACAAGAGUGGCGCGCUCACCGUCACGCUCGCCGUCGCCGCGUCGCUCCUCAUGCUGGUCCUGCUCUAACCUCUGCGCGGCCAUCGCCGUCCGCCGCUUCCGCUCCCGCGGUGCGGUGGGGCAGGACCGGCCUCCUCCUCCUCCUCUGAGGCGUCUUGCGCCACGGCGUUUCUUCGCUGGAACGGGCUCCAGCACCACCGCUCGGCCUUCACCUACGAGCAGCUCCGCCUGCCACCGAGGGCCGCAAGCUCGGCAACGGAGGGUUCAGGAUGGUGUUCCUCGCGCACCGCCCGCCGGCCGCCCUGCCGCCGUCAAGCGCCUUCACGUCCCGCCGUCCCCGCCGCCAUCCUUCCCUUCCGCUUCGGCCACCAUGACCAAGUCCUUCUGCAACGAGGUCCUCAUCCUCUCAUUUGGACAACAAAUUCGGUGCUUUCCAUUUGCUUUUGGAGCUCAAGACAAGCUCUCCCAUGGAGUUUUCAACCUCCUUCAAGAUCCGCAUUUGACGGAGUUGGUUCAAUCACCAGCAUGGAUGGAAGAAAAGGAGAUUUGAGCGUUGGGGAAUGGGGAAGCGCCGGGAUGGACAGAACCAGCAUCGGCAAAGGACGACCUUGGAAAAGGUGUUUCGGUGGAGCACACCGCUUCUCUGAGUUGGUACCCCUUCAUGGUCCAUUCACUUUUCAAUUAACAGAUGGGUGAAUCUGCAAUGACAUUCCGAAUUUGAAUGAACAAGCAAGCAGUGGAGUGCUCAAUCAUGUGAUAUAUGUUUUCUAGCGUGGAAACAAGUGGAGAUAUUCAGACUGGCCUAGGAGACUGUUUUACUAUCAUAUUCCAAUGAAUGCUUAGUUUGGUGAUAUGAUUCGUUUAAAGAUGGAAUGGUAAGUACUAUCAGCUCCCUUAUGUAUAAUCUUAGCCCUUGAAUGCUUAGUGCUGCUUGAAUACUUAGUUCUUGGCAGCAUAGUGCUUGGACGCUUAGUGCUAGAAUUCUCAUUUUGGUGAACUGUGUGUUGUCAAAUGAUGGACCAUAUGCAUUUAUGCAGCAUUUUCAUCCCUGUAACUUAAUGAUAAUGCAGCCCUGAAACUGGUGGAAAAAUCUCCACCGAAGGUUCAGUUGGCGAAGGGAUUGGUAACAAGGAUGAAUCAGGGCACCGUGUUCUAGAAACUGCACUGGGAGGGAUUGUUUGCACCGACCAAACAAUGACCAGUAAAGAUGAUAGAACUCAACCAUGGCCAAAGUGUAAGAUGUUACCGAGCAUUCAUGGAAAUAGCUUAUUACGACAAAUUCAAAGAAUCAGGCUCUAGUACUUAGAGGCCCUGCAAAACUAGAUCAUUUAGCCAAUGGAUUUUCAACAGAUCCGAUCACAGAAUAUGGUGAUGAAGGUUUCAUGUUCCGACAGAACAAUGCAAUUUCUUGUCCUCAAGAACCAACACCGUCUGUUUGACUGAUCCAGGAGAAGGCAGUAACAUGGAGGAUGAAUAUGUGCAAUGUGUUCAAGAAUACGAAGAUGAAGAGAAUUGGUGUGCCGACACCACAUUGUGCAUUUUAGAUAAUGAAACACAACAAUGGCCGAAGUGGUAAGCAUUUGUUGAAUGAUAAUAUUUUGUUUCCCUACACAUAUAAUUUAUAGCAAGAUUUUCAUCAGCUCCAAUAUAUAAGAUUCCAGAAUUGGAGCAGGGCUGUAUAGAAUCAUGAAAAUACAAGUUGGCAACUUGGCAUAAUAGUAAACCCUAAACUAUUUUAGUAUCAUUUCUAGUGAAAUUCUUAGUUUUGUAGAUAUGAUUCAUUUAAAGAUGUAAUGGUAAGUACUAUCAGCUUCCCUCGGUAUAAUCUUAACCCUUUGAAUGCUUUGUGCUUGGUCGAUGGAGGUACAUGAACAACAAGUGUACACCAAUCACCAAUACUAAUAUGUUGUUCAUGUGAUUCAGAAUUAUUGAGUGUGAGGCCUCCAGAUGUGAAAACAAGCGUGGAGACCAAUCAGGGAGAAGUUGAAGCAGUCAGGGAAGAAGGUAAGCAAGAAGAAGAGAAACAAGUGUUGCACCAUUUGUGGGCUUAAUGAUCAUAAGGCAUCAGAAUACCUGACAAAAAGUGUGUGUAUCACUAACAAAAUAGCGUAGCAUCAAUGAGUUGUAGCUGAUUCACAGCAGAUUGUAUUUUUGUAUGUCCAGGUAAUACCAGCCUCGACGCUUAUCUAUCUUUUCCAAUCAACAUCAGAACAUGGGCACUGGUCUGCCCAGCUUGUGUCUUGUAAUGGUGCAGAAUUCAGGCUUUGCUUGUACUGUAGAAUUAGACAAUAAUGGUACAACUACAUCACGUCCUAUACAAUAAUGGUACCAAAAGAUGGUAUGCGUCUAUUUGAGUAUGUUGCAUAUAAUUUUGUGGCCC